rnacentral:rRNA from 1 species
CCCUUAGAUGUUCUGGGCCGCACGCGCGCUACACUGACGAUGGCAACGAGUUUUUCCUUCGCCGAAAGGUGUGGGUAAUCUUUUGAAACAUCGUCGUGCUGGGGAUAGAUUAUUGCAAUUUUUGAUCUUGAACGAGGAAUUCCUAGUAAGCGCGAGUCAUCAGCUCGCGUUGAUUACGUCCCUGCCCUUUGUACACACCGCCCGUCGCUACUACCGAUUGAAUGGUUUAGUGAGGACUCCUGAUUGGCGCCGCCGCCCCGGCAACGGAGCAGCGGACUGCCGAAAAGUUGUUCAAACUUGAUCAUUUAGAGGAAGUAAAAGUCGUAACA